rnacentral:rRNA from 1 species
UACGAAGGGGGCUAGCGUUGCUCGGAAUCACUGGGCGUAAAGGGUGCGUAGGCGGGUCUUUAAGUCAGGGGUGAAAUCCUGGAGCUCAACUCCAGAACUGCCUUUGAUACUGAAGAUCUUGAGUUUGGGAGAGGGAUGCGGAAUUCCAGGUGUAGCGGUGAAAUACGUAGAUAUCUGGAGGAACACCGGUGGCGAAGGCGGCAUCCUGGACCAACACUGACGCUGAGUGAGCGAAAGCCAGGGGAGCAAACGGG